rnacentral:rRNA from 1 species
ACGACGCUGGCGGCGUGCCUAAUACAUGCAAGUCGAACGGUCUUUCUAUGGAAGCUUGCUUCCACUGAGAAGAUAGUGGCGAACGGGUGAGUAACACGUGGGUAACCUGCCCAUAAGAGGGGGAUAACAUCCGGAAACGGGUGCUAAUACCGCAUAGUUUUCUUGAUCGCAUGAUCGGGAAAGGAAAGACGGCCUUUGUGCUGUCGCUUAUGGAUGGACCCGCGGCGUAUUAGUUAGUUGGUGAGGUAACGGCUCACCAAGACGAUGAUACGUAGCCGACCUGAGAGGGUGAUCGGCCACAUUGGGACUGAGACACGGCCCAAACUCCUACGGGAGGCAGCAGUAGGGAAUCUUCCGCAAUGGACGAAAGUCUGACGGAGCAACGCCGCGUGAGUGAAGAAAGGUUUUCGGAUCGUAAAACUCUGUUGUCAGAGAAGAACAAGUUGGAGAGUAACUGCUCCAGCCUUGACGGUAUCUGACCAGAAAGCCACGGCUAACUACGUGCCAGCCGCUGC